GUAGGUGAACCUGCGGAAGGAUCAUUACCGAGUUAGGGUUCGUCCAACGAGCCCGACCUCCCAACCCUUUGUCUAUUUUACCUUGUCGUUGCUUCGGCGGACCGGUCGCGACCAACUGGCCGUGGCCGCCGGGGGGUCCACCCCCUGAGAGCGUCCGCCGAUGGCCCAACCACAAACUCUUGUACCAAACCAUGUCGUCUGAAUUACUUGAUUAAAAUCAAAAAACAAAACUUUCAACAACGGAUCUCUU
rnacentral:misc_RNA from 1 species